rnacentral:tRNA from 1 species
GAGGAUGUGGCUCACUGGUAGAGCAUUUGCCUGGCAUGCAUGAAGCCCUGAGUUCAUUUCCCAGUACUUCA